AGCCUUCUGAAUCUACGUUGAGAUUUCGUCAAACACCAGACCAUCAGCACUGACGAGACUCCCAAGAUAAGUGGAGAA
rfam:Schistosoma haematobium scaffold2308_3, whole genome shotgun sequence.